CCUACGGGUGGCAGCAGUGGGGAAUAUUGCACAAUGGGGGAAACCCUGAUGCAGCGACGCCGCGUGAGUGAAGAAGUAUUUCGGUAUGUAAAGCUCUAUUAGCAGGGAAGAAAAUGACGGUACUUGAUUAAGAAGCCCCGGCUAAUUACGUGCCAGCAGCCGCGGUAAUACGUAGGGGGCAAGCGUUAUCCGGAUUUACUGGGUGUAAAGGGAGCGUAGUCGGCAGCACAAGUCUGGAGUGAAAUGCCCGGGCUUAACCCCGGAACUGCAUUUGAAACUGUGCAGCUAGAGUGCAGGAGAGGUAAGUGGAAUUCCUAGUGUAGCGGUGAAAUGCGUAGAUAUUAGGAGGAACACCAGUGGCGAAGGCGGCUUGCUGGACUGUAACUGACGUUGAGGCUCGAAAGCGUGGGGAGCAAACAGGAUUAGAUACCCUGGUAGUC
rnacentral:rRNA from 1 species